CAGCUGGUGGAAGCAGAACCCCACGAAGAGGCAGGGCAGUUGGCCCCGAACCACGACACAUACAUUAUAUGACAGCUCUGAUGCUCCCAUUCAGCCAUUGGCCUCUUAAAGUUUUGGCUGGCCAUGUAAUCCCAAUCCCCUCUACCUCUUCAGCUGAGCUCUCCACCAUCAGCCAUUGAAGCAUCACUGGCAGCUGAAGAUCUUUAUUUUACCCCGGACCAACCUCAUAUUCUGGAGUGGGGCUUUCCUGAAUGACAACUGACCAUCUAUUUGCCAAUUUGUACAGGGCUUUGGAUCCUGAAAACGAAAAUUCAGAACUAGAGCCUAUAGCCAUUCCAAGGAAGCACCAAACUCUGACUCACUCAGAGCAUUAUCUGAACUAUGACCAGAUCUAACAACUCUCAUUGAAUGGAACUUGUCCUUUGCCAGCCUGCUAGCACUGACUUAUUAAUAUGUAUGCAAUGUUUAUGCAGAGUUCCUUAUUCCUUGACUAUGGUAGGAGGCAAUACCUCCUUUCCUUUAUUGUAGGCUGUGGAAAUAAUGCACAGGUUUUUUGGGGUUGAGAUCAGUAUUAUUUUCAGAAAUGUGGUGUGGCCCAGACAAGUUCUCCUCAUCCCUGUCAGAUGUACACUGCCAGAUUGGUGGCACUACAUGUGUUCCUUUUACUGAACAGCUCAGUUCCAAACAGUAAAUCUGCCUUUCUUCUAGUUCCCUUGUAGGAGAGAAGAUACCAGUGAUAGAAUCCAGAACCUUCAUAAACAGCAAUCAGGAAACAAGACAAACAAAAACAUACUUGUCCUAUAUCUCCAAACCCAGGCACCCUAGUAGUACAAUACUAGUGAGGACAAAGAUUAGGAAUCCUUAUAUAGAGCUGAUAAUUAGUUAAACCUAACCAAAAGUCAGAGCUGAAAAUGAAAGGUAAGUGAGUUCAGGGUUCAGCAGGAAAGAGGAUUAUUCCAGUCCCUUAUACUGUAUUUGGAAACUCAGUAGGUGCUGCAUCUGAACAACAUAUUGCAACAAGGAUCUAUGUCAUCUCUAUUAAGAUGCUAAGAAUAAGAACAAGUUAAGUUCCUGGAGCUUUAUUCUGUCCAUGGUGAGAGAGAUGUUUCUACCCCCAUACACAACAGAUCAUUCAAGAGAGGUUUAUUCUCCCCCAGUGAACACCGGGGAGAGGUUUAGAGUCUCCAGCAAGACACUGAUCAGAGGUUUUGUCCCUCCCGGAAGACAGGGAUUCGGAUUAUCCAUCAUAGAGAUAUGGCCACAACUGUAGAAGCUCCCAUAAUGUCUAGCAAUGCAGCACAUAACCUGCAAGAAAGCUUCAGUGCAGUUACUAGUUUGAAGUCAGGAUAAUAAGGACCCCAUGACCAUAAUCUUAGUCUCAGAUAAUUUGCCAGGACUAUCCUGUAUUUCAGUUGCAUGAAUAUCCUGUUUUCUGCCCAUCUAUUCUAUCACUAAAUACAAGGUUGGUGCCGCAGCGUUAGGUGAGAAGGGAAAAACUCCUUCCCUGGCACAAAGGCAGAGCCUGUAGGUAGAAACACAUCAAAGAGACUGACCCUGGGCUUAUUGCCCCCUGCAGGAGUGUGCACCAAAGAGAGACUUCAGGUGCCCCCAAAUGUAUAUCUGUGCACUCUCCUCUCUCUCUCUCUCUCUCUCUCUCUCUCUCUCUCUCUCUCUCUCUCCCCUGCACCCUCAAGGAGCAACAUUGCUGGCCACAAUGAUGAGGAGAGGAGAACCCAGCAACUACCUGGGGCAAUUCCAACAAAAACAUUAGUAUCAAAGCAACAUCUGUUUAGUCUGAACCUUUCAACUAGUAUCUCAGGUAUCUCUGCAGGGGGAGAUUAUAGCAUUGUCUGUGAACUUCUGCCCAAAGAUCAGGGAGGGUGGAGGGGAACUGCGAACCUCCUGAACUUACCUGGGGCCUAUGGGUUCCCUCAAAGGAAGAAUGAGGCAAGAGAGCUCAGGAGGAGGAAUAAGAAAGAAGUGAAAAGUAAAAACAUGUCCAGGACUUUCAUUAUGGUUCUCAAUAAUCACACUGCAGUAAGUAGCCAAUCCUCUGGCACUCACAUCUUCUUUAGCUCCACUCUCUUAUGCAAUAAACAUAUUGCAAGUGUUUACCUCCUCCUUGCCAACCACCUGUACAGAUUGCCCUGUGAUCAUUACAAGUUCUGUAAUGGAGGUGAGUUACCUAAUCAAACACACACCCCUCUUUAAUAGUGUUGUAUUAACUGAUGUUAAAUCUCACGCUGCAGUAUUUUCAGCAUACGGUGUCCUAUCUGAUAAAAAAUGUCAGCUGGCAGCCAGGCUCAGGGCACAGGUAGAUGUUGGCUAAACCCUGCAAAUGGUGAAUGAACAAGGUAGAUUGUUUUCCUCACACUGCCCCUUGUAUUUCAUAGUUUCAAAUAAAUAUUAGACAGUGCCUAGUUGCAAGAGUUCCACCAAACCGAGUUCUAGAAUAUUGCAUGUUCAUUUCCUUUUUUCGCAUGUGCAGAACCACUGACAAAGCCUGAAUUUCCUGAUCACCAGCUGUACUGAUUGGGGAAAGAACACCUGUACUGAUGUUAGAAAAGCUGCUUCCCAC